rnacentral:lncRNA from 1 species
ACAAUCUAAUUAAAAACCGAUCCCUCAUCGCUUCUGUUUCUGAUAUGUCGCGUGGGAGAUCUAACGAAACCGGCUUUGAGGUCACAUGUGAGUGAACUAAAAGUCAUGAAUUUAUAAAGAUAUGCAAAUGACUUGACGACCUAUUAAUAAGCCAAUCAAAAAAGUUUAUGAAUUAUUUUGACUGACGAUUUCGUCGUAAAUGAAAUGAGUUACAUCCCUUUGCCUUACGUUAAACUUCCAAGAUCGUGGAAGACUCAAUUUCAUUGGUCGAAAAAG